GUGCCAGCCGCCGCGUAAUUCCAGCUCCAAUAGCGUAUAUUAAAGUUGUUGUGGUUAAAAAGCUCGUAGUUGAACCUUGGGCCUGGCUGGCCGGUCCGCCUCACCGCGUGCACUGGUCCGGCCGGGCCUUUCCCUCUGUGGAACCCCAUACCCUUCACUGGGCGUGGCGGGGAAACAGGACAUUUACUUUGAAAAAAUUAGAGUGCUCCAGGCAGGCCUAUGCUCGAAUACAUUAGCAUGGAAUAAUAAAAUAGGACGCGCGGUUCUAUUUUGUUGGUUUAUAGGACCGCCGUAAUGAUUAAUAGGGACAGUCGGGGGCAUCAGUAUUCAACUGUCAGAGGUGAAAUUCUUGGAUCAGUUGAAGACUAACUACUGCGAAAGCAUUUGCCAAGGAUGUUUUCAUUAAUCAGGAACGAAAGUUAGGGGAUCGAAGACGAUCAGAUACCGUCGUAGUCUUAACCAUAAACUAUGCCGACUAGGGAUCGGACGGUGUUAUUCAUGACCCGUUCGGCACCUUACGAGAAAUCAAAGUGCUUGGGCUCCAGGGGGAGUAUGGUCGCAAGGCUGAAACUUAAAGAAAUUGACGGAAGGGCACCACCAGGGGUGGAGCCUGCGGCUUAAUUUGACUCAACACGGGGAAACUCACCAGGUCCAGACACAAUAAGGAUUGACAGAUUGAGAGCUCUUUCUUGAUUUUGUGGGUGGUGGUGCAUGGGCCGUUCUUAGUUGGUGGGGGUGAC
rnacentral:rRNA from 1 species